rnacentral:lncRNA from 1 species
UCACUUGAAUUAAAGAAGGUUGCUUUUUUGUACCCAGAAUAUUUUCAAUAUAUUUGUUUAGCUAAUAUAACUGGAGAUGGGCUUUUUUUCUAGGACACUAACAAGUGCUGGUAAAGACCUACAUGAUAAUUUUCUGAAGGCUCUGGCAGCGAGAGAAGAAGACAAUCGCAGUGGAAAAGUGAGCGGGCAGCUUCCUCACGUGUCUUGAGGUCCAAUUGCCAUUCUUGG